rnacentral:rRNA from 1 species
UCUCGUAGUCGAAAAUUGAAACAAUCAAAUUGUAUCCCAAGUAGCAUGGAGCACGUGAAAUUCCGUGUGAAUCUGCGAGGACCACCUCGUAAGGCUAAAUAUUCCUGAAUGACCGAUAGUGAAAUAGUACCGUGAGGGAAAGGUGAAAAGAACCCCGGGAGGGGAGUGAAAAGAACAUGAAACCAUAAACUUACAAUCAGUAGGAGGACGACUAAAACGUCUGACUGCGUGCCUGUUGAAGAAUGAGCCGGCGACUUAUAGCUAGUGGCAGGUUAAAGCAGAGAAUGUUGAAGCCAUAGUGAAAGCGAGCCUGAAGAGGGCGUUUGUCACUAGUUAUAGACCCGAACCCGGAUGAUCUAACCAUGGUCAGGUUGAAGCUUAGGUAAUACUAAGUGGAGGACCGAACCGACUGAUGUUGAAAAAUCAGCGGAUGAACUGUGGUUAGGGGUGAAAUGCCAAUCGAAUUCGGAGCUAGCUGGUUCUCCCCGAAAUGCGUUUUGGCGCAGCGGUAAAUGUUAGAAUUUAGGGGUAAAGCACUGUUACGUAUGCGGGCUGGUAAUUCGGUACCAAAUCGUUGCAAACUAAGAAUACUAAAUGUAAAGUUUACCAGUGAGACUGUGGGGGAUAAGCUCCAUUGUCAAGAGGGAAACAGCCCAGAGCACCAGUUAAGGCCCCAAAAUAAUUGCUAAGUGAUAAAGGAGGUGGGAGUGCCUAGACAAUCAGGAGGUUUGCUUAGAAGCAGCAAUCCUUUAAAGAGUGCGUAAUAGCUCACUGAUCGAGUAAACCUGCGCCGAAAAUGUACGGGACUAAGUAAUUUGCCGAAACUGUGCGAUAUAUGAAAUAUAUCGGUAGGGGAGCGUUCUGUUGUAGGUUGAAGUAUUAGCGGAAGCGGAUAUGGACGAAGCAGAAGUGAGAAUGUCGGCUUGAGUAACGAAAAUAUAGGUGAGAAUCCUAUACCCCGAAAACCCAAGGUUUCCUCCGGAAGGUUCGUCCGCGGAGGGUAAGUCAGGACCUAAGGCGAGGCUGAAAAGCGUA